rnacentral:snRNA from 1 species
GUGCUCGCUUCAGCAGCACAUAUUCUAAAAUUGGAACAAUAGAGAUUAGCAUGGCCCCUGCAAGGAUGACAUGCAAAUUGGUGAAGCAUUAUUAAAAAAA